rnacentral:snoRNA from 1 species
UGAUGGCAGUGAUGAUUUGUGUAUUGUUGCUUUCCUGAUGUACAGACCUGAGGGUGCACAGUCACUACCUCAUCUGAGCCAUCU